AUUGAACGCUGGCGGUAUGCUUAACACAUGCAAGUCGAACGGCAGCAUUUUCUAGCUUGCUAGAAAGAUGGCGAGUGGCGAACGGGUGAGUAAUAUAUCGGAACGUACCCAAGAGUGGGGGAUAACGUAGCGAAAGUUACGCUAAUACCGCAUACGAUCUAUGGAUGAAAGCAGGGGAUCGCAAGACCUUGUGCUCCUGG
rnacentral:rRNA from 1 species